rnacentral:rRNA from 1 species
UCGAGUCGUUGAUUUCACACUGCCGAGAAAAGCCUCUAGAUAGAAAAUAGGUGCCCGUACCGCAAACCGACACAGGUAGUCAAGAUGAGAAUUCUAAGGUGAGCGAGCGAACUCUCGUUAAGGAACUCGGCAAAAUGACCCCGUAACUUCGGGAGAAGGGGUGCUCUUUAGGGUUAACGCCCAGAAGAGCCGCAGUGAAUAGGCCCAAGCGACUGUUUAUCAAAAACACAGGUCUCUGCUAAACCGUAAGGUGAUGUAUAGGGGCUGACGCCUGCCCGGUGCUGGAAGGUUAAGAGGAGUGGUUAGCUUCUGCGAAGCUACGAAUCGAAGCCCCAGUAAACGGCGGCCGUAACUAUAACGGUCCUAAGGUAGCGAAAUUCCUUGUCGGGUAAGUUCCGACCCGCACGAAAGGCGUAACGAUUUGGGCACUGUCUCAACGAGAGACUCGGUGAAAUCAUAGUACCUGUGAAGAUGC